rnacentral:rRNA from 1 species
CGGCCCACCAAGGCGACGAUGCGUAGCCGACCUGAGAGGGUGACCGGCCACACUGGGACUGAGACACGGCCCAGACUCCUACGGGAGGCAGCAGUAGGGAAUUUUCGGCAAUGGGGGAACCCUGACCGAGCAACGCCGCGUGAAGGAAGAAGGAAUUCGUUCUGUAAACUUCUGUUAUAAAGGAAGAACGGCACAUAUAGGGAAUGAUAUGUGAGUGACGGUACUUUAUGAGGAAGCCACGGCUAACUAC